GACGAACGCUGGCGGCGUGCUUAACACAUGCAAGUCGAACGGAAAGGCCCUGCUUUUGUGGGGUGCUCGAGUGGCGAACGGGUGAGUAACACGUGAGUAACCUGCCCUUGACUUUGGGAUAACUUCAGGAAACUGGGGCUAAUACCGGAUAGGAGCUCCUGCUGCAUGGUGGGGGUUGGAAAGUUUCGGCGGUUGGGGAUGGACUCGCGGCUUAUCAGCUUGUUGGUGGGGUAGUGGCUUACCAAGGCUUUGACGGGUAGCCGGCCUGAGAGGGUGACCGGCCACAUGGGGACUGAGAUACGGCCCAGACUCCUACGGGAGGCAGCAGUGGGGAAUAUUGCACAAUGGGCGGAAGCCUGAUGCAGCAACGCCGCGUGCGGGAGGACGGCCUUCGGGUUGUAAACCGCUUUCGCCUGUGACGAAGCGUGAGUGACGGUAAUGGGUAAAGAAGCACCGGCGAACUACGG
rnacentral:rRNA from 1 species